UCCGUUGUGGUGUAGUGGUUUGAGUGUUAGACUACAACUCUGGAGACCAGGGUUGGAUUCCCUGCUUGGUGA